UACGUAGGGACCAAGCGUUGUUCGGAUUUACUGGGCGUAAAGGGCGCGUAGGCGGCGUGGUAAGUCACUUGUGAAAUCUCUGAGCUUAACUCAGAACGGCCAAGUGAUACUGCUGUGCUAGAGUGCGGAAGGGGCAAUCGGAAUUCUUGGUGUAGCGGUGAAAUGCGUAGAUAUCAAGAGGAACACCUGAGGUGAAGACGGGUUGCUGGGCCGACACUGACGCUGAUGCGCGAAAGCCAGGGGAGCAAACGGG
rnacentral:rRNA from 1 species